rnacentral:rRNA from 1 species
AUGAUCCAGCCAAUAUAUGAUGUUUUAGGCCAGAAUAAAAAUGAAGAUCAUCAAGCCAAGCCUCUCACAAAUAUCAUGAGUAUGUCACGAGUGAGGUCAAUUACUAUCUUUCCACCUGCUGUUAGUAUCAUGCCCAGUCUGUCAAUGUUUGAAGUUAUGCGUGUACUUGAUCUGUCAAACUGUAAUCUUGAGGAAAGUAGCAGCCUACAGCAUAACCUAAAGGGUGUUGGACACUUGAUUCACCUAAGGUACCUUGGUCUGAAAAGUACUGGAAUCAGUGAACUCCCUGCUGAGAUAGGAAACCUACAGUUUUUGGAGGUGUUGGAUCUUGAAGAAAAUUAUGGGCUGUAUGGUGUUGAAUUGCCGGCAACUGUCAGUAAGUUGAGAAGAUUGAUCUGCCUAAAGGUUGUUAGAGGUGUGGUGGUUCCAGCUGGUAAGUUGCAGAAUCAUACAUCCAUGGAAGUGUUGAGGUUGAUCUUGAUCUCUCUGAACAUUAUUGCACAAGAGCUUGGCAACCUGGCAAUGUUGAGGGAGCUUCAGAUUGUCUUCGAGGAUGGUAGUUUGGAUUUGUAUGAAGGUUUCGUGAAGUCUCUGUGUAAUCUACAUCAUAUUGAAAGCCUACGUAUUGAAUGCAAUUACAAAGAAACAUCUUUCGAACUGAUGACUCUCUUGGGAGAACGCUGGGUGCCUCCUGUACAUCUCCGUGAAUUUGUGUCGCACAUGCCCAGCGAACUCUCUGCACUGCGAGGGUGGAUAAAGAGAGACCCCUCGCAUCUCUCAAGCCUCUCCAAGUUAAUCCUCAGGUCAGUGAAGGAAGUGCAGCAGGAGGACAUGGAUAUCAUUGGGGGGUUGCCGUUCCUUCGCCGUCUCUGGAUAAAGAGCACAUACCAAACACAACGGCUGCUAGUCAUCCGUGCAGAUGGGUUCCGCUGUAUGGUAUGGUUUGAGUUGAAUUGUGGAUCAACAGCGCAGAUAAUUUUUGAAUCAGGAGCUUUGCCGAGGGUGGAAACAAUUGAGUUCAGCCUGGGCGUGCGGGUGGCGAAAGAGGAUGGUAACUGUGGUUUCGACUUGGGCCUGCAGGGGAACCUGCUCUCCCUUCGGCGGCAUGUCUGUGUUUUUAUCUAUUGUGGUGAAGCUAGGGUUGGGGAGGCCAAGCAAGCAGAGGCUGCGGUGAGGCACGCACUCGAAGCCCAUCCCAAUCAUCCCCCGAUUGAGAUUUGUAUGAUCCCGUAUAUAGCAGAAGAUGCCCAUGAUGACAAUUUGGUGUGUGCUAGUGAUGAGGACAACUAA